rnacentral:rRNA from 1 species
GACGAACGCUGGCGGCGUGCUUAACGCAUGCAAGUCGAACGAUGAAGCUGGAGCUUGCUCCGGUGGAUUAGUGGCGAACGGGUGAGUAACACGUGAGUAAUCUGCCCUUGACUCUGGGAUAACUGCGGGAAACUGUAGCUAAUACCGGAUACGACACCUUCGGGCAUCCGAUGGGUGUGGAAAGAAUUUCGGUCAAGGAUGAACUCGCGGCCUAUCAGCUAGUUGGUGAGGUAAUGGCUCACCAAGGCGACGACGGGUAGCCGGCCUGAGAGGGUGACCAGCCACACUGGGACUGAGACACGGCCCAGACUCCUACGGGAGGCAGCAGUGGGGAAUAUUGCACAAUGGGCGAAAGCCUGAUGCAGCAACGCCGCGUGAGGGAUGAAGGCCUUCGGGUUGUAAACCUCUUUUAGUUGGGAAGAAGCGGAAGUGACGGUACCAACAGAAAAAGCACCGGCUAACUACGUGCCAGCCGCCGCAGUAA